ACGCUGGCGGCGUGCUUAACACAUGCAAGUCGAACGAACCUUCGGGUUAGUGGCGGACGGGUGAGUAACGCGUGGGAAUCUGCCCUCAGGAGGGGGAUAACGGUUGGAAACGGCCGCUAAUACCCCAUAUGCCGAGAGGUGAAAUGAAUUUCGCCUGAGGAUGAGCCCGCGUCUGAUUAGCUAGUUGGUGAGGUAAGAGCUCACCAAGGCAUCGAUCAGUAGCUGGUCUGAGAGGAUGAUCAGCCACACUGGGACUGAGACACGGCCCAGACUCCUACGGGAGGCAGCAGUGGGGAAUUUUCCGCAAUGGGCGAAAGCCUGACGGAGCAACGCCGCGUGAGGGAUGAAGGCCUCUGGGCUGUAAACCUCUUUUAUCAAGGAAGAAGAUCUGACGGUACUUGAUGAAU
rnacentral:rRNA from 1 species